UCAGUGUCUGCCAUAGGAAACUGCCAGAGGUCAGUUUCCUACAGCCAGAUAGGGAGCCUAGGGAGGGCGGAGGCAGGCGUAGAGAUGCCCUAGAAAUGCAGCGUUUGGGAGGCGCGGGAACCUCUGGAUUGGAACAAACAGUCGAAAUUUUUGAAGUUUCCUGAGGGGGGAAAAAAAGUGGAUUCCAGGACUCUGUUACCCUUGAAGGGGUGGGACUGUACGUAAACUAGCUGGAGGACUGAAUCACAAGAAGUAGUACACCGCUGCAGCAACUGUUUGCAGGGUGUUCUGGAAAAGAAGACCCUGCUAUGCCAUUCUGGGUUGUGCUGGCUGAGCCAGUUCUGCUAGGUGAGACUGAACUGGACUCCAUGGGACUCAGUACAGGAGCAAGGGUCUGCCCACACACAAGAUGCAGGAUCAGAGCCCUCAUCCUAAGAAGCUACAUGUACAGGAGAAAUGUGUACCUCUUGUUCAAGCAGACAUCCUCAGCACAGUUGAACAGCUCUCUCAGAACGCACAACAGCUCUGAGGAAGGAUAUCACAAGUGCUGUAAGAUGUGGAAAUCUGGUAGAAUUCUACUUCCCCUGAUCUUGAAUCUGUCAGGUACAGUGCCAGCUGAGUUUCAGCAGUAUUUUGUAGUGACUCUAGUGUGAAUCAAUUAGAAUCUUUAUCCAGCAGCUUUGCACAUACCUGAAGAA